ACAAUCAAACAAGAACUGGCAUGCAACACAUACAACACUUAGAACAGAGAAAUGUGUUACCUUCCUUCUUCGCGAUCGGAGAAGAACGGCCUUCAACCACCGGAUGAAACUAAGUCCGGUCACCGGAAAUUUGCAGAUAAACGGAAACUCACCAGAAUCAGGUCACAAACGUCGGAAACUUACCCAAAACCGAAGGUAUAAUCAUCGGAUAACAUCAAAACCCCUGGUCCGAAUGUCGGAAAACCCUAGAUUUUGAACAACUCACCGAAAUAAGACCAGAGAUGUCGGAAAAUCACGCAAAACAUCUACUGAUACAUGAUCGGAGCCUCAAACAGUCAGAAAAGUCCCGAUUAUCCGAUU
rnacentral:lncRNA from 1 species